rnacentral:rRNA from 1 species
AGCUAGUUGGUGAGGUAACGGCCCACCAAGGCGACGAUCGGUAGCCGGACUGAGAGGUUGAACGGCCACAUUGGGACUGAGACACGGCCCAGACUCCUACGGGAGGCAGCAGUGGGGAAUAUUGCACAAUGGGGGAAACCCUGAUGCAGCGACGCCGCGUGGAGGAAGAAGGUCUUCGGAUUGUAAACUCCUGUUGUUGAGGAAGAUAAUGACGGUACUCAACAAGGAAGUGACGGCUAACUACGUGCCAGCAGCCGCGGUAAAACGUAGGUCACAAGCGUUGUCCGGAAUUACUGGGUGUAAAGGGAGCGCAGGCGGGAAGACAAGUUGGAAGUGAAAUCUAUGGGCUCAACCCAUAAACUGCUUUCAAAACUGUUUUUCUUGAGUAGUGCAGAGGUAGGCGGAAUUCCCGGUGUAGCGGUGGAAUGCGUAGAUAUCGGGAGGAACACCAGUGGCGAAGGCGGCCUACUGGGCACCAACUGACGCUGAGGCUCGAAAGUGUGGGUAGCAAACAGGAUUAGAUACCCUGGUAGUCCACACCGUAAACGAUGAUUACUAGGUGUUGGAGGAUUGACCCCUUCAGUGCCGCAGUUAACACAAUAAGUAAUCCACCUGGGGAGUACGACCGCAAGGUUGAAACUCAAAGGAAUUGACGGGGGCCCGCACAAGCAGUGGAGUAUGUGGUUUAAUUCGACGCAACGCGAAGAACCUUACCAAGUCUUGACAUCCUGCGACGAUGCUGGAAACAGUAGUUUCCUUCGGGACGCAGAGACAGGUGGUGCAUGGUUGUCGUCAGCUCGUGUCGUGAGAUGUUGGGUUAAGUCCCGCAACGAGCGCAACCCUUACUGUCAGUUACUACGCAAGAGGACUCUGGCAGGACUGCCGUUGACAAAACGGAGGAAGGUGGGGAUGACGUCAAAUCAUCAUGCCCUUUAUGACUUGGGCUACACACGUACUACAAUGGCGUUAAACAAAGAGAGGCAAGACCGCGAGGUGGAGCAAAACUCAGAAACAACGUCCCAGUUCGGACUGCAGGCUGCAACUCGCCUGCACGAAGUCGGAAUUGCUAGUAAUCGUGGAUCAGCAUGCCACGGUGAAUACGUUCCCGGGCCUUGUACACACCGCCCGUCACACCAUGAGAGCCGGGGGGACCCGAAGUCGGUAGUCUAACCGCAAGGAGUACGCCGCCGAAGGUAAAACUGGUGAUUGGGGUGAAGUCGAAACAAGGUAGCCGUAGGAGAACCUGCGGCUG